rnacentral:rRNA from 1 species
UACGAAGGGGGCUAGCGUUGUUCGGAUUUACUGGGCGUAAAGCGCACGUAGGCGGAUACUUAAGUCAGGGGUGAAAUCCCGGGGCUCAACCCCGGAACUGCCUUUGAUACUGGGUAUCUCGAGUCCGAGAGAGGUGAGUGGAAUUCCGAGUGUAGAGGUGAAAUUCGUAGAUAUUCGGAGGAACACCAGUGGCGAAGGCGGCUCACUGGUCCGGUACUGACGCUGAGGUGCGAAAGCGUGGGGAGCAAACAGG